AGAGUUUGAUCAUGGCUCAGAACGUACGCUGGCGGCACGCCUAACACAUGCAAGUCGAACGAAGUAGCAAUACUUAGUGGCAGACGGGUGAGUAACAUGUAGGUAUCUGCCCUUUGGCCUGGAAUAACACGAGGAAACUUGUGCUAAUACCGGAUAAGUCUUUACGGAGAAAGCUUUAUGCACCAUUGGAUGAGCCUGCACUUGAUUAGUUUGUUGGUGGGGUAAUGGCCUACCAAGACUGUGAUCAAUAGCUGAUUUGAGAGGAUGAUCAGCCACAUUGGGACUGAGACACGGCCCAAACUCCUACGGGAGGCAGCAGUGGGGAAUCUUGCACAAUGGAGGAAACUCUGAUGCAGCGAUGCCGCGUGAGUGAAGAAGGCCCUUGGGUUGUAAAGCUCUUUCGUCGGGGAAGAAAAUGACUGUACCCGAAUAAGAAGGUCCGGCUAACUUCGUGCCAGCAGCCGCGGUAAUACGAAGGGACCUAGCGUAGUUCGGAAUUACUGGGCUUAAAGAGUUCGUAGGUGGUUGAAAAAGUUAGUGGUGAAAUCCCAGAGCUUAACUCUGGAACUGCCAUUAAAACUUUUCAGCUAGAGUAUGAUAGAGGAAAGCAGAAUUUCUAGUGUAGAGGUGAAAUUCGUAGAUAUUAGAAAGAAUACCAAUUGCGAAGGCAGCUUUCUGGAUCAUUACUGACACUGAGGAACGAAAGCAUGGGUAGCGAAGAGGAUUAGAUACCCUCGUAGUCCAUGCCGUAAACGAUGUGUGUUAGACGUUGGAAAUUUAUUUUCAGUGUCGCAGGGAAACCGAUAAACACACCGCCUGGGGAGUACGACCGCAAGGUUAAAACUCAAAUGAAUUGACGGGGACCCGCACAAGUAGUGGAGCAUGUGGUUUAAUUCGAAGAUACGCGCAGAACCUUACCAACACUUGACAUGUUCGUCGCGACUCUAAGAGAUUAGAGUUUUCGGUUCGGCCGGACGAAACACAGGUGCUGCAUGGCUGUCGUCAGCUCGUGUCGUGAGAUGUUGGGUUAAGUCCCGCAACGAGCGCAACCCUCACUUUUAGUUGCCAUCAUUAAGUUGGGCACUCUGAAAGAACUGCCAGUGAUAAGCUGGAGGAAGGUGGGGAUGACGUCAAGUCCUCAUGGCCCUUACGUGUUGGGCUACACACGUGCUACAAUGGUAUCUACAACAGGAAGCAAGACUGCGAAGUUAAGCAAAUCCCUAAAAGAUACCUCAGUUCGGAUUGCACUCUGCAACUCGAGUGCAUGAAGCUGGAAUUACUAGUAAUCGUGGAUCAGCGUGCCACGGUGAAUGCGUUCCCGGGUCUUGUACACACCGCCCGUCACACCAUGGGAGUUGGUUCUACCUUAAGGCAAGGUUUCAAACCCUUGACCACGGUAUAGUCAGCGACUGGGGUGAAGUCGUAACAAGGUAACCGUA
rnacentral:rRNA from 1 species